GCGUCGUGCUGGCACUUUUACUGGCCGGAUCUUAGAACUGAACCUGUAGCCAGGCGCCAUCUUUGACUCUGGCAGUCUUGGAUUUCUGCUGGUGUUGCUGCUGAGAGGACGGCGGACGGCAGCGGCUAAGAAAGAAGAAAGACGUGGCAGCAGCGGGAGUCGUGGAUAGUGUCGUCGGUUCGGUAAAGUUUCUGUUCUCCGGUAACUAGACCCGUUUUUUUGCUUCCCGGGUGGCUCGGGGCCGGGGAGGUGGGGGAGAGGGCGAGGGGAGUGGCCGCGGCCUCCCCUCGCCCCUGGGUCGCGGCCUAGCCCGGGAAGUCAGAGCGGGUCCUUCGGCCCGGUGGUAAAGACCGGCUCCCCCACCUCCGGGCCGCUGCCGUCGCCAGGGCGGCCUGGGAGCCCCAGGCUCCAGCUCCCAGGCCCAUCUACCCCCACCCUCCUUCACCCCACCCCCACGGGGCCUGCUCCUUUUCCCAACCAGUCUUCCUCCCUUCCCCCACAUCCGGUGUUGGCGAAACUGUAGGAGCCGGGAGCAGCCCCGGGAAACCGACUUGUUCCCCUACUCCCGGAGGAGAACUGACAACUACGUUGCUUUCUCUGGGGCAGCAGUUUCCUUAGUUUUAGCGAACCCCACUGCCUAAAUCAAAUUGAAUGCCAGGAGCUGAUUUUACCUACUCUCAUUCCUCUCCAGGGUCCCACUACUUGGGAGAUUUUCUCAAACUCCACAUACAGAAAGCCACCGAUCUUAUUCCGGUAUCCUACACCCCUUUCCUACCUUAAUUACACUCCCACCCCCAGCCCUCAGCAUCGGAGUCAAGAGCAACAGGGACACUUCCGUUCUCCUUGUAGGAUUGAUGAAACCGUAAUGAAGAACGCCCCCUAAACUCCCAUAAUCGGUGCGGAUUCCUAUGGGGAAGGCCCAUAUUGUUGACAUCUUCCAGGCCUUGGUUCUGGACCUUGAGAAGGAGGCUGAACUAGUGAUAGCGAUGCUUUUUAGGGUAAUUGUAUGUAGGUAUUGGGGGAAGGGGAGGGAUCAACCAAGAAGGCAUGACACUGAUUUAAAACUCAUAUUUCAUUUUCUGCUGCUCAUAUAGAGUCCAACUUAGGAGUUACUCAUUUGCAGGCUGUAAGGCUUCUCCGGUCUAAAAAUGUCUGAAAACCAAGUAUGGAUUAACUCUUGAUACAGAUAGUAAAUUAGAAAUUCAGUUUGUAAUCUUACUUUAAAAUUUUACUCUCAAAGCAUUUUUUUUUUUAAAAGCUACCUACAUUUUUAAAAAAUUGUGUUACUUUUAGCUAGAGCUGAAAGGGUCAACAGGCAUUUGCUGUUAAUGACCAGUAUGUGGAGUCUGAUUUAGCUUUCCAGAAUUGACUUUUGGGGUUGUAUUGGCAAAUCACAGUCUUAAAUAAUGGAUAUUAAAUGAUGCACUAUGUUUUUGUUUAAAUGAAAUUUACUGAAAAUAAUUCCAGAAUUAAGGGGAUUUGAUGUUGCUGUCGUGAGGCAACAUAAAAGAUACGUAUUUUAAAAGCUAAAACAUUUCAAGCAGAUACAGUUCUUGAUGAAUCAUAAAGAAUAUGGACCAUAGAUUUGGAAGACUUGGUUUUUAGCUGCUACUAACUCUGACGCUGGAAAAGUAGACCUCAGUUUUCUUUUCUGUAACAUGAGGAGAUUGGACUAUUUGAAUUCAGAACUCAGAAAGUUGGAAGGGAUCUUAAAGCCCUCUGUAAAAGAGUUUGGGAAUGAGCUCCAUUGCUGUCACUUUUCCUCCAAAAAUAACCUGGCAUGGAAGUCAUUGGUCCAGUGGGAAUUUGACUCCCCAUAGAAACUGGAGAAAAGGUAAUGCAAGUAGAGAGGAACAGCUGUAUAUCUGUUUGAGGAAUAAACCCACUAACAGAUUCUGCUACGAAUUUUGGAGACAUAAAAAGAAUGAGUAUAUGUACCUUAAGUGUACCAGUGUCCUCACUCUCUCCUGGCAGAAGAUGUAGCACUUUUAGUGGUGCUGGGAUUCUGGGCUGUGUUCCUAUUAAUUCUAAUACAGAUGAAGAAGAUGUGGUAGAGGGAAAGAUGGUGGCAGAAGGAGUGGAUAAAGAGGCAAAAUUGCCUGCCAAAAAGAAAAGAAAGAAGGGUUUGCGAAUUAAGGGGAAAAGGCGACGAAAGAAACUGAUCCUUGCAAAAAAGUUUAGUAAGGAUUUGGGAUCUGGGAGGCCUGUUGCAAGCACUACUGCUUUGUUAGCGUCUGAUGCCCCUGAGCAUGAUGAAGAAAGUCUUUUUGAGAGUAAUAUAGAAAAACAGAUCUAUUUACCUAGUACUAGAGCAAAGACUUCCAUUGUGUGGCACUUCUUUCAUGUUGACCCCCAGUAUACCUGGCGGGCAAUUUGUAACCUCUGUGAAAAAAGUGUUAGCAGGGGUAAACCAGGUAGCCAUCUUGGGACAUCUACUCUCCAACGACAUCUACAGGCAAGGCACUCACCUCACUGGACUAGGGCCAACAAAUUUGGAGUUACUAGUGGGGAGGAGGAUUUUACUUUGGAUGUACCUUUAUCUCCCUCUUCUGCUGGAAGCAAUGGAAGCUUUGAAUAUCUCUCUACUGAUCCAUUAGAUGAUAGUGGAAUGGGUAAGAAGCGUGAUAAAUCAGUAUCUGAUGCCUUGAGGGCAGAAAGAGGAAGAUUUCUCAUCAAAAGUAACAUAGUCAAGCAUGCCUUAAUUCCUGGAACAAGAGCCAAGACAUCUGCAGUUUGGAAUUUUUUCUACACAGAUCCUCAGCACAUCUCAAGAGCUGUGUGUAAUAUAUGUAAAAGAAGUGUGAGCAGGGGUAGGCCAGGUUCUCACUUAGGAACCUCAACACUUCAACGACACCUGCAAGCCACACAUCCCAUCCAUUGGGCUGUUGCCAACAAGGACAGUGGUGCAGUUGGAAAUGGAUUAGAUGAGGCUGAGACUGAGGGAAAUGAUCUCUUGAGCAAUACUUUGCAUGGAGAAAAGUCUGCAGGCAGCCAAAGUGUAACAGCUGAGGACCUUACUGACUCUGAUUCAGAUGAACCUCCUGUAUUAGAGGUUGAAAAUAGAAGAUCUGAGAGUCCCAUUCCUGAUGCAGAGCAGGACACUCUUAUGCAUGCACAGGAACGAGAAGCAACAUACUGUGAAAAUUCAACCUCAAGUCAAAUAAGUCAAGCAAUAAUUCAGAUGAUUGUGGAAGAUAUGCAUCCUUACAACUACUUCUCAACCCCAGCCUUUCAGAGAUUCAUGCAGAUUGUGGCCCCUGACUAUAGGUUACCAUCUGAAACUUACUUUUUCACUAAGGCUGUCCCUCAAUUAUAUGAUUGGGUUAGAGAAAAAAUUUUCUUGACUUUGGAGAAUGUUCAAAGCCAAAAGAUUCACUUGACUGUGGACAUAUGGACCCAUGACCCAUCCACUGACUAUUUCACUGUGACUGUACACUGGGUCUCUUUGGAAACGCCAUCUUCUUCAAAUAGUGACAGGAUCCCCAAUUUUAGAAAGUGGGCAGUUCUUUGUGUAACAGGUUUGGCCAAAGACUGUUUGAUAACCAACAUUUUACAAGAAUUAAAUGACCAGAUUGGUCUGUGGCUUUCUCCUAAUUUCCUCAUCCCUAGUUUCAUUGUUUCUGACAAUUCUUCUAAUGUAGUACAUGCAAUCAAAGACGGUGGUUUUACCCAUGUGCCAUGCUUACUGCAUUGUUUAAAUAUAGUUAUUCAAGACUUUUUCUGUGAACACAAAAGCAUUGAGAACAUGUUAGUGGCUGCUCGGAAAACAUGUCAUCACUUUAGUCAUUCAGUCAAGGCCCGUCAGAUACUGCAAGAGUUCCAAAAUGAUCACCGACUACCAUGGAAAAAUUUGAAGCAGGAUGAAGCUGGCCAUUGGAUUUCUACCUUUUAUAUGUUAAAAUGGCUGUUGGAACAUUGUUACUCAGUUCAUCAUAGUCUUGGUAGAGCCAGUGGAGUCGUGCUCACCUCCCUUCAGUGGACUCUAAUGACAUAUGUUUGUGAUAUUCUUAAACCAUUUGAGGAGGUCACCCGGAAAGUGAGUGUGAAGACCACAGGGUUGAAUCAGGUGCUACCCCUAAUCCAUCAUCUACUCCUUUCCCUGCAGAAACUCAGAGAGGAUUUUCAAGUUAGAGGUAUUACUCAGGCCCUCAAUCUGGUAGACAGUUUAUCUCUGAAACUGGAAACUGACACUCUACUAAGUGCCAUGCUCAAAUCUAAGCCUUGUAUCCUGGCUGCUUUGUUAGAUCCUUGUUUUAAAAACAGUUUGGAAGACUUUAACCCUCAAGGUGCUGAUUUAGAAACUUAUAAGCAGAUGCUUGCAGAAGAAGUUUGUAAUUAUAUGGAAUCUUCACCAGAGGUCUGCCAUGUUGCAACUUCAGAAGCUUCUGGUCCCUCAGCUAUAGUAGGAGCUGAUUCAUUUACCUCAUCUAUAAGAGAAAGCACCUCCAGUUCGGGGUCUAUUGAUAGUUCAGCUGCAGAUAAUGUUGCCGUUGGAGGCAAAAGCUUCAUGUUUCCUUCUGCUAUGGCAGUAGUGGAUGAAUACUUCAAAGAGAAGUAUUCAGAGAUUUCAGGAGGUGAUGACCCUUUGGUUUACUGGCAGAAGAAGGUGAGCAUAUGGCCAGCUUUGACCCAAGUUGCUGUUCAGUAUCUGAGCUGCCCCAUGUGUAGUUGGCAAUCUGAAUGUAUCUUUACUGCAAAUGGCCACUUUCAUCCAAAGCAGAUCAUGAACCUGGACUUUGACAAUAUAGAACAGCUAAUGUUUCUGAAAAUGAAUUUGAAAAAUGUUAACUAUGAUUAUUCUGCAUUGGUUCUGAGCUGGGAUCCUGAAAAUGAAGUUACUCAAAGCAGUGAAAAAGAAAUAUUGUCUUAAUUUCUUUUUCCUUUCUCCAUUUAAAUUGGGCAACUUUUGCUAUGUUACUGUAUCCUAUUUCCUAUUAUUUUUAUAUAUAGUUAUACUAAUUCUUCAUGCACAUCUGGGGAAACCUGAAAACACAGGAAGGGCUGAAAAUUCCUCAGAGGUACUAUAGUGUUGAAAAAGUGAAUAUUACAAGAUUUCACAGUAACUCAAUGUAGCUGUCACUUGAAAUUUUGUUUAUAUUGAGAAAAGAAAGAUAUUUUUUAAAUAAAAAAUAUAGUGCAGCAUUAAAAGGCCUUAGGCUAUUAGAUUGAACUAGUAAUUGGCUUUAAAUAAAAAUAUCUUUUAACAUGGGAAGUUUGAUUGCUCUGAAACAAAUUGAGGAAAAAGCAUACUAAACUGUUAUGUGCUUCCCCCACCACCAUUUUCCUAUUUCUUUAAAAACCCUGAUUCAUAUUUACAGCUUGGCAAAAACUAAAGUUCACAGAUUUUUUUUCAUAUUUGGAAAAUUCUAAUUGCCUCCUCAUACUGGUCAACUUUACAAUUUCAGCUUAGUGUGAUAGUUACCCUUUAUGUUUAGGAUUGGCUUUAUAUAAAAAGGAAACAAGAAAUUUAGGAAAAAAAUUACUUUUAGUCUUUAAAUUGCCUUUUUAAACUUUUAUAAAAUAGUGUAAAAACCAAGAUUAUAUAGGUACUUUUAUAUAACUUAUGGGUAAAUGAGAAAAAGUUUACAAAAUUUUAAAAGAUUAAGUGGGAAUUGGAAUGAAAGCCCUGUGAGCACACCGACAAACCCAGUAUCCAUUUCCCAAGGAAUGUUUUGCUGAAUUUUAGUGAUCUUAAAUGUCUUUGAAUGAUCCAUAGUGUUGUAUUCUUAACUAUGAGAUUAUUUUGGCCUCUAUUCUUAUUUAAAAAUAAACAGUAUUUUCAUGUGUUAGGAAUCAUUGCCUCACUGGUAGAAUGAGAGAAAUGAUCUCAAAUGAUCUUACCACUGUCCACUCUGAGAGUAUGUUUCUGUGACUGAGAGGCCAGAAAAUAAUGACUUUUAGUAAAAGUCUAUUAAAAGUUUCAGACUGAAUUACUAAUGUAAGAUCCCAAUUUUUCCUUUUUUUCAUUUUAGAUUUGGGGAUAUUCCCUGCCCAAAAAUUUCCUGGAAAAUUGACUAGUAUUAAGUGUGAGUAAAAGGUGUCCACUUUUUUUUAAGUUUUGAUUUUAGUUUUGUCUUGGAUAGUAUUUGGCAAGAUUUAGCCUAGAAAUUAUGUAGUAUUUAUUACGUGAGAAUCAAAAUUGCUUUGUUACUGGGCUGUUUCAAAAUUUAGAGCUCAUUUCUAUGUAUCAAAAUUGUUUUUUGUUUUUGUUUUUUGUUUUUUGAAAUUCUUAAAUGGUAAAUGUACCAUCGUGAAAUGAAAUUUCAACUCCAAAAGUUUACCCUUUUACUAAGUGGAGUAAAUGGAUGAUUAUAAAGUCUUUAGUUAUAGCCAUCAUUAGUAAAGAAUUUGGAACUAGGCUACAUAAGCAAGCCUUUGCAGGGCCGGUAUCGAAUGUCAUGCCAGUGACCCUGGUGUUGCUAUAAAAGAAGAAAAAAAUCCUCCCUUUAGAUAGAAGCUUGCUGUAUCUUGACAGUGCCAGUUCAGGAUGGCCAUAACACUGCUCUGCCUUCUACAGCUUGCUGCACCACUCUGUAGUUACUCUGUAACUAUACAUUUCUAUCUUUUUUGGUUAAACACUCCGUGAAGGUGAUAAAAGAUGAUGUGAUGAUAUACAUACAUCCAUAUUAUACAUGUCAAUAUAUACGUAAGGAUUUCUCUUCAUCUUUGUUUGUGGGCUGGGCAAAAUUUAGUGUAACAUAUUAAUAUACUUCAUGAUACUUUGGUAUAAGAAUAAAUUCACUAUUUUUAUAAUGAACCCAAAUUUAAAGGCUUUUGUAGUAUAUUUUAAAAGGGAAAACUUACCCAAAUGUUUUAUUUCUACACAUUUGUGUGUGUGUGUGUGUGUGUGUAUAAGGCAGUUAGUAUAUAUGUAUAUUAAACAUAAAACACUUAUAUUUUUACAUACAAGUGCGUUUUUAUUAUACAGAUAAUAAAGAUGGGGGAAGGUUUCUGUUUUUUUCUUAAUAGGUGAAGAAAUCUUGAAGACCAGAGAUUGGAUCUUAUUGAAUUUUGGUGUUCUUUUUCUUUUUUUCUUUUUCCUUCCUAAAUUAAUAUUGUUCGGCUGUGGAAGAUGGAUUUUUUUUUUUUUAAUAAUCCUUUGACUCCCAAGUUCAUCUUUAUAUGAACUCUUUUUUUUUUUUUUUUUUUUUUGGUUUUUUGGUUUUGUUUUUGUUUUUGUUUUUUUUUUUUUGAGGAGAUAACUAACCCUAGCUGUCUCCAGUUUGACAAAGGUUAUUCGAAUGGACUUAAUCUCCCGGUAGUUGGGAGAUGUUUUAAAAACACAUCCUGUGUUUGAAUUGUGGCUGAGAGGUUUCCUUGGCAAUGUGAGGAGGAAAAUUCUUUCUGCCCCAUUAUUAUUAAUUCAUGGAUUGAGUGUUGGUUCGACCUACAGGCGUAAUAGAUUGGAACUCAGUGAAGACACAGACAUUCCUGUUGAGAGCAACCAGCUAAUGAUUACGUUUAAAAGACCAUUUCUGUGAUUGAGUUGUCUUUUGGAAGAUUUAAACCAAUUUCAAGAGGACUUGGAGCUUGUCCUUGCCUUGAAGAAGGAGUGGCUUGUUUUCAAGAAGCCACUUCUGAUCUAAGGAUCUGCGCUACUCAGCAUGCCUAAUCAAGGAGAAGACUGCUAUUUUUUUUUCUAUUCUACAUGUACCAAAGGUGACAGCUGUCCAUUCCGUCACUGUGAAGCUGCACUAGGAAAUGAAACCGUUUGCACAUUAUGGCAAGAAGGGCGCUGUUUUCGACAGGUGUGCAGGUUUCGGCAUAUGGAGAUUGAU